GACGAACGCUGGCGGCGUGCUUAACACAUGCAAGUCGAACGGAAAGGCCCUGCUUUUGUGUGGUGCUCGAGUGGCGAACGGGUGAGUAACACGUGAGUAACCUGCCCUUGACUUUGGGAUAACUUCAGGAAACUGGGGCUAAUACCGGAUAGGAGCUCCUGCUGCAUGGUGGGGGUUGGAAAGUUUAGGCGGUUGGGGAUGGACUCGCGGCUUAUCAGCUUGUUGGUGGGGUAGUGGCUUACCAAGGCUUUGACGGGUAGCCGGCCUGAGAGGGUGAACGGCGACAUUGGGACUGAGAUAGGGACCAGACUGCUACGGGAGACAGCAGUGGAGAGUAUUGCACAAUGGGCGGAAGCGUGAUGCAGCAACGCCGCGUGCGGGAUGACGGCCUUCGGGUUGUAAACCGCUUUCGCCUGUGACGAAGCGUGAGUGACGGUAAUGGGUAAAGAAGCACCGGCUAACUACGUG
rnacentral:rRNA from 1 species